GCACUGCUGAUGAGUCCUACACCAAGACGAAACGGCCGUCCAGUGU
rnacentral:hammerhead_ribozyme from 1 species